rnacentral:rRNA from 1 species
UGGGAACUCUAGGGAGACUGCCGGUGACAAACCGGAGGAAGGUGGGGAGGACGUCAGGUCAUCAUGGCCCUUACGGGCAGGGCUACACACGUGCUACAAUGGCGCGUACAGAGGGCUGCGAACCUGCGAGGGGGAGCCAAUCUCACAAAACGCGUCGUAGUCCGGAUUGGAGUCUGCAACUCGACUCCGUGAAGUCGGAAUCGCUAGUAAUCGUGAAUCAGAAUGUCACGGUGAAUACGUUCCCGGGCCUUGUACACACCGCCCGUCACACCAUGGGAGUGGGUUGCACCAGAAG